AGUCGAGGGGCAGCACGGUAUAGCAAUAUAUGGGUGGCGACCGGCAAACGGGUGCGGAACACGUACACAACCUUCCGGUGAGCGGGGGAUAGCCCAGAGAAAUUUGGAUUAAUACCCCAUACUAUAAUGAUCAGGCAUCUGGGUAUUAUCAAAGGCUUCGGCCGCUUAUUGAUGGGUGUGCGUCUGAUUAGGUAGUUGGCGGGGUAGAGGCCCACCAAGCCUACGAUCAGUAGCUGAUGUGAGAGCAUGAUCAGCCACACGGGCACUGAGACACGGGCCCGACUCCUACGGGAGGCAGCAGUAAGGAAUAUUGGACAAUGGACGCAAGUCUGAUCCAGCCAUGCCGCGUGAAGGAUGAAUGCCCUCUGGGUUGUAAACUUCUUUUACAGGGGAAGAAAGUUAUCUUUUUUAGGAUAUUUGACGGUACCCUAUGAAUAAGCACCGGCUAACUCCGUGCCAGCAGCCGCGGUAAUACGGAGGGUGGAAGCGUUAUCCGGAUUCACUGGGUUUAAAGGGUGCGUAGGCGGGUAUGUAAGUCAGUGGUGAAAUACCGGAGCUUAACUUCGGAACUGCCAUUGAUACUAUAUAUCUUGAAUAUUGUGGAGGUAAGCGGAAUAUGUCAUGUAGCGGUGAAAUGCUUAGAGAUGACAUAGAACACCGAUUGCGAAGGCAGCUUACUACGCAAAUAUUGACGCUGAGGCACGAAAGCGUGGGGAUCAAACAGGAUUAGAUACCCUGGUAGUCCACGCCCUAAACGAUGAUUACUCGACAUUAGCGAUACACAGUUAGUGUCUGAGCGAAAGCAUUAAGUAAUC
rnacentral:rRNA from 1 species